AUACAAUACAACCACCAACAUCUGAUUUAUGGCCCUUAUGACCCAUUUUAUGGACUUAUACUCAAAUGUCUUGAUGUGUAAAUUUUUAUAUUUUGGGUUUUUUCGUUACUUAGGCCUGUUUUAAGAUUAUAUUCAUUAUUUGUUCAUAACACUUUUACAAGUUUUCAUAAUUACUCUUUUUUCAUGUAUUGUUGAUAUUCUACUUAUUUUGUUCUAUUUUACUCCCUUCAAUCCAUCAAAAAGGACCAACUCAUAUAUGUUUCUUAAUGUUUAUCAUGGAUUCAUGAUUGCUUAGAAAGAGCUGCCAAAGCCGAGUUGUUUAGCCGGUGAGUUGACUUUUAGUUGAUAACUCACACAGCUGAUCUUACCUUGUCUCAUGAACGUCAUAAGAGUAGAGCCAAUGGAUCGACAGAGAAGAAAGCUAGAAAAAAACCGUUGGAGAGCUUGAACUGAAGCGGGUUUCCAUUUUGAUUUAUUGCUUGGCCUUAUAACAGUUUUAUUGUUGGACUUUACUUGAGCAGCUGUAUGUGGGCAUUAACUGUUUUCACUUUUACGCCCCCUCAAACUUGGCGAGGCAAUGGAAUCGACGAUGAGUUUGCCUCGGAGAAUGGAAAUGGAAGUGUUUGGUGAAGAUAUCGGUGAUCUGCUGCUGAGUUUGUAUGUGCUUCACUUCAAGAGUUCCAAAAGCAACACGUUCCCUGACAUAAAUAAUCAAGGGCAAAGUGUUUGGUCCUCGAGGAAAUGACGGAUUUGCAGAAAGAAGCACUGCU